rnacentral:tRNA from 1 species
GCCCUAGUGGCCUAGUGGUAAGGCGUGUGACUUCUAUCCAAGAAUUCCUGAAUAGAGAUCUCAAGAUCGCGGGUUCGACCCCCGCCUGGGGUU